rnacentral:lncRNA from 1 species
ACAUAGAAUGUCUGUGAGUAUUAGGAAUCUUUUAACUUGUGACCUAAAAAAUAUCUAAGCCUCACCAGUUUCCCAGGAUAGAUUUCAGCCUAUCUGGCACUUAAAAGAAGAAAAAAUCUUGGAAAGCCUACUAUAGAGCUAUAACUCUCCAAAAUCUCAAGGAAUCAUAGAUAACCUAUAAAUACUAUGUGGAGCAUAAAAUUCUUAAAUAUGCAGUUCCAUUUAUGGGAUUCAGAAAACAAAAAACUGAACCAGUCAAAUCAGGCCAAUUCUGAGCUUACUUUCUCUGUCUUGAAAUACAAAAUAAAUAAAUAAACAAAUAAAUAAAUAAAUAAAUUUUAAAAGAUGUGCUUCUGAAACUUUGGGUUUGAUCUCCAAAUUUCAAGCAUCUGCCACAUGUUUGUGCUGGGAGUGUGCUGUGGUUGCAAUAAAACUAUUCUUGGGUUUCUUUUCCAAAGGGCACUAACAAACACGAAUUUUUAAACCUUUUUAUGGAGGCUGAGUGAAAUACUUUGAUUUUCGUAUAAACUCAUCCCCAAACUGGAUUUACGACACUGAUGAUUAAAACAUCUCUAGUUAUUUCUUCCUAGUCCGGGAAUGGCUUUUAAAACAAACAGCCAGAACUUGGGGUGGAUUUGUUUGAGGUUGUGGUCACUGUCACAGGAACACUGGAGAGAGAGGGUUUGAGGAAAACCACUUUCAUGUGAUGAGUUCCACGUUGCAACUCCAAGAAUCACAUGUGCUCUAAGUCGAUUUAGCUUUUGGAACCAUCUGAAUAAGACCACGGCAUAGAGUUGGCUAUCCUCACUGAUUUGAACAGCAAAACCAAAGUUUCAAUCAUCGGGCUCUGAUGCAGGAGAAAUUAAGCAAAGUCUAUUUCCCAUACUCCUCCCAGUAUAGCUGGGUGUUUACAAAAUCCCAUUAUUAAAACUGACUUCUAUGUUUAAGCUCUUUGAAAAGCACACACACACCUUUCUUGCCUAUGGAAAAUCAGUAUCAACUGCCCCAAGUAGAAAGCUAUGUACACAUAAAUACAAUGAAAAUAAAAGCAUGAUAGAAAUGGCUGUGUCCUGAAGACUCCUAGCCUGAUGGCUAUUCUAUUGCAGUGGCUGUUGUUUAAAGGGAGGUUAGCAAGAUUUAACAGAUGUUAAAUUACCAAUACAGUCAUUGAAUGGACUGACUACUGAAAAAGCUGUGUAUUUACACUUGGUAAUGUUUACUGUCGUGUGCUCAUACCACUAUGAAUGAUCAUCUUUAAUAGCAUCUGUGGUUUGUAUUUCAUGCCUUGCGAAAUCCUUUUCCAGUGGACAUAACCCUUGUCACGGGUAAUGCACAAUUCUUUAUGAGCUUAUGAGUCAAUAGCACCUGGGAGUGGAUGAAGUUUAGAUUCUUUCUUGAUCUCCUUCCAGUCCAUUAGCCCCACCUGCCUCAUUUUCUCCAUUCUAGGGUUCAGACAUAGGGGGAAGCCUUCCUUUACUCUUGAGGUUCUCCACACUUUUUCUAGGAUCUAGAAAAUUCUCCUUGUCAUGGCAAUCCUUCCUUUCACAAACACAUCUUUCUCCACUUAGACAACUUCCACACACCCACUCAAACUCAAAACACCAUUAGAGGACAAGUGGGUAAUAGAUAUUAAACAUGUACACUUUGAGGAAUUAAUCAGAAAUAUUUUCUAAAAGGUAUAAAGAAGUGAAUGCAAGAGUGAUUAUUUCAGCAUUGUUUGGAAAGACCAAAAUGGAAGUAACGGCAGUAUCCAUUACUGUAAAUCUGGCUAUAUCACAAUUCUCCCUCCAUAAAAUAUACUAUUUUGAAGUAGUUUAAAAGCUCAAGUCAUCUACAUCUGUGUGUGUGUGUGUGUAUAUAUAUGCACUUACAUGGAGAGAGCGCCACUGUGUCUAUGUAACUUACUGAACGCCUCCUUGCUCUUUGCCUGGAUUGAUUCAUUCACUGAAUCUUCACAAAACUGUUAAGGGGUUGCAAUAUUACCCCAUAUUACAGAUGAGGAAUUCAGGACAUAGGAAGGUGAGGUCAUUUGCCCAAAGUUACUCUGUUAGUGGAAAGUCAAGAUUUAACCCAAUGAAUUUUAAUGCCUUGGAUAGCUCUUCUGAAUUUUAGACUGUAUUGUAGGUUUUGAAGAAUAAAUGUUAAACUGUCUAUUCCAUUUACCUUGGAAGGAAGUACCAGGUUCACAAGGGAUGUCUUUGUGUCCUCAACUGAGCACAUGUGUUUCUUCUCAUUGCCUCCUUGGCUGAUGCCUUUUAAGCCCCAGCUAGGGGGGUGAGACAUGGGAGGGACAUUUCUCCUUAUGCACUGAAUCCGAUACCAGGCUCAGACUAUUACUCUGUGAGCCCCAAUGUUGGGGAUAAAGAUAUUCUAAAAGGACUGGUUUAUCACAAUCAUGUCUCUGUGGAUCUCACUGGGGCUCACUGGCUCCCAGUCAUGACUCCUCAUGACUUUCUGCCUCCUUGACCUUUCAGUCUGGCAUCUCUUGAACCUAUCUCACCUAACUCCAUUCAACUUGACCUCUUCUAAGAUGUGGGGUUCUUCGUGAUCCUAAACAUCCGAGCUCAAUGUAUUUACCCUUUAUGGGAUGGGGGGAUUUUUAUUUCUAGAGUAAUGCUGAACUUGAGCAACUGUCCCCAAGUUAGGAUAGGGAGGACUAAAGGUAAGUAUAGCCUGUGGUUUUAUUCCUUAAAUUCCACCUUUUUUUUUUAAACGUCCUGCAGCAUAUGGAAGUUCCUGGGCUAAGGGUCUAACUGGAGCUGCAGCUGAAGCCUACACCAAAGCCAUAGCAACACCAGAUCCAAGCCGCAUCUGCGACCUACAUCACAGCUGGAUCCUUAACCCAAUGAGUGAGGGCAGCAAUAGAACCCACAUUCUCAUGGACACUAUGCAGGUUCUUAUCCUGCUGAGCCACAAUGGGAACUCCCUCCCCCUGUCUUUUUAAGGAGACUCGCAUUCUAGGGAGCCAUUGAUGAAAUCACUGAGGCAGGAGCUGGACUAUUUUUAAGUACAUUAUAAUCACUGUUGACAAAUCUUUUCUGAUAAUCCCUCUUUGAAAAUGAAAGCUCUGGGCAAUACGACAAGUAGUGGGAAGCACCACCUUCCUACUGACAACAACAUAGUAACUACUAUCAUUGUUAUUAUUCCACAGAAGUUUAUUUGCAAACUUUAAAUGGCAAGUUUUUUUACCUGGUUUUCUUCCAGGUGCCAGGUGUCCCUCCCUCUGUCUUGGUUGAUAAUGUCUAUAAACAUCAAUUAGAAAGAAGUCUGCUGUUUGGUGAAUAUUUCCGUGACACAAAGUGGCAAAAGAUGACUGAAUCUCGCAGGAUUAAACCACGGCAACAAGAUCAUCAUUCCUGUGGGUCUACUGUGGGGCAGAUACUAUUACGCUCUUCACAUUCAGAAUCUCUCAUUUAUCAAGAGAGUAUCAAGGUAAGCUUUAUGAAACCCCAUUUCAGAGAUGGGGAUAGGGAAGAUGUGAGAGGUCAUGGGAUUUGACCAAGGUCAUCAGUAAGUGGUAGAACAAUGAUUCAGGCACACACCUUCCUGACCUAAAACCCCAAUGUAUUGCCUAAUUCUGGCUUCCAUGGCCAAACCCCAGACUUGCUGUAGUAAUUUCCCAUUUUUGAAAGGAGUUCUUUGACAAAUUUGAACACUCAGGAAAUUCUUCUCUCAUUUCUGGCUGUGGCCGCCAUGAAGGGGUGGGAACAUAUGGGUAGGAGUUUGCUUUUCUCUUUCCUGCCCACAGCUAUGCAUGUGCAAGCUCCCAAACACCAGCACUGUGCUGUAUCUGCACACAGCUGUGGGAUGCCUUCCAGAGAAGAUGUUUAUUUUCACUGACCCUUCCUCUCCCAUGAUUUAGUCUUGUUUUAAUAUUUUUUUAUGGGUUUAAGUGUGAACAAUCACCAUCCAUAUGAAAUCUUCCAGCUGCUUCUGAAGCUCUUUGGAGACCAAAGUCUGAAAGCCACAGCCUACCCUGCCUGGUUAGAGGUGCUCUCUGAGGGGAGAACUCUAGGCACGAGGAAUGAGGUGAGGCUGGGAGGGAGCAGAGGGCAGGGAAAAUUCAAGCCAAAGGUGCCUCUGGACCCUCAGUGGCUGAGGGGGGCUGCCAGUUGGGACGAUUGGCAGGCAUGGAAAGUCCUUCCAGUGCUGCUCCCAUUUAUUUCCCUACUACUCCUUUUUGUGGAAUUCAGGACUUGCUUCCAAGCGAUUUUUUUUUUUUUCAAGUGACUUGGAUCUGGUCAAAAGAAAAAAGCCCUAAGCUUUGUGUCAGGAGCUGCAACUUUUCACCAGAUCAUAUGGUAGUGAGAUCUACUGGAUAAAUUCAAGUGUGUAAUGUUGCAUUAUGCACUUAAAAACACCCCUCAAAAACACCAAAAAAAACCCCACUUUACUUAACUGAGAUAAAAUUCACAUAACAUGAAGGUCACCAUUUUAACCAUUUUAAAGCAUACACUUCAAAGCGCUAUGGUUUCCACUACACUGGCAGUACCGUGCAACCAUCACCACGAUCUAAUGUCAGAAUACUUCCAUCACAUCAUCUCACCAAUCCCAUGCACAACAGCAGGAAGGAGGUGUUCUUGAUGGCACAUCACAGAUGGGGACAUGGAGUCCCAGAGACUUGAAGUGACGAGGGUUACAAAGGUGUAGAGUAGUAGAACUGAGAUUCAUUUACCAGAGGGCCUCCCUUCCAAACUCAGCUGGACAUGUUGGCCAGGGGCUGCUCAUAGUAUUUUCUCGAUAUGUGGAGACAUUUAAGUGCCACUAGAAAUAAGUGAUUUACUUCUUGUAAGAAACCGAGAAAAUCAGAUAGAGGAAAAACGGUGGUAUUGAGCUUAAAAACCCUAUCACAUAAAAAUUAGAGAGGCAGCAUGAGACUACAAUCUGUAACUUAGGAUGGGGUGGGGAGGGUGUAUGACUUGCAUGUAAAUAGAGCAGAUAAAUGGAAAAAAAAAACAGACAACAAAAAUGAAAGUAUGUGUUUUCACCAGAAAAUCUACACAUACAGUUAUCUUUCCCUUGGUUCUGGGGGAUUCAUUCCAGGACCGCCCGGCCCCGCCCCGCCCCGCCCCAUGGAUCCAAGGAUGCUCAAGUCCCUUAUCUAAAAGGACCUAUGACAUAGAUGCAGCCUCUCUUUAAAUCAUCUCUAGAUUCCGUAAGAUAACCUGAUUUGAUGUAAAUACUAUGUAAAUGGUUGUAAAUAUAACAUAAAUGCUAUGUUAAUAGCUGCCUGUGUGGCAAAUACAAGUUUUGCUUUUUGGAACUUUCUGGAAUUUUUUUUUCAAAUAUUUUCAAUCUGCAGUUGGUUGAAUCUGCUAAUGCAGAACUGUGGAUACCAUGGGCCCGCCAGAGGCUGGGUUGGUAUCUGGCCAUUUCAGCCAUGUCUCCGCAGAACUCCUCAGCACAUCACUGAUAAAUGGGUGUAUUCUACACUCAUAUCCAGGUAUCAGUCAUCUAGCCAACAAAUGAAGCAGCUGGCGUAGGGCAAGCCUGGGUUAGUAUGGAUGGGAACCAUUCGUUUGAAAGGAUACUUAGAAAACUGAGGAGAGGUGAUGUGAGAUGCAGUCACUCAGCAUUACGAGAUCAACUGGGACAGGAGAGACCCAGGGGUAGACAGCUCUAAUCUCUUGCAUUAGAGAGGGCUUCAGACAGCAUUUCAGAGGAGAAGGGAGGGAUACUGAGCAACCACUGUGGCCACACCCAAAGCUGUUCCUCCCUUGGAAGGCUUCCCUGUUGCUUCCCCUCUUUCUCUGUAACCUUCUGUCUCUAGGAGAUGCUGCUUCUUUACUGCAGAGCCUGGUUCAGAGGGAUCCGCAAGGCAGUCCUCAUCUCUUCUUCUCACUGGGUGGGAGAUGAGAAGUGGACGUGGUCUCCCAGAUGGAUCCAGAGGACUGGCUUCAAGGUCAGAGGGAUGGCUUUCACUUUUUCACUGCUGGUCAGUUAACACCCCUGGGUUCUUGUUCUCCCAGUUCAUGCCAGCUUGGGGGUCUCAACUCAGCUUGCAGUUGAGCUCCUCUAGCUGAGCCCUGUUCCUCGUCUUUUUUUCCUCAAUGACUCCACUUCAAUAUCACACCUACUCCUUUUUAAUUCCUUACUCUAAAACUGAUGAAAAUCCCCCAUUCAAAAGACAAUAUUUAAAAGCAUUCCCUUGAAUAAUCAACACAGCAAAGAGGUCAAUUCUUUCCAAAUUUAUCUCUAGUCCCUCCCAUGCAAUUCCUAUCAAAAUCCCAGCAAGAUAUUUUUUUUUAGACAUAGACAAACUUAUUCUAAUAUUUAUGUGAAAAGGCAAAGUACUUAGAACAAGUAAAACAAUUUUGAAAAAGAAUAAAAGAGUCACUCUAGCUGAGGUUAAGGGUUACUAUACAGCUACAGUGACUGAGACAGCAUGGUACUGGCAGAGGGAAAGACAAAGAGCAAUAGAACAGAACAGAACAGAAAAUACAGAUAUAGAACCAUAUAAAUAUGCCCAACUGAUUUUUGACAACGGCACAAAAGGACAGCCUCUUCAAAAAAUGGUAUUGGAGCAAAUGGACAUCCAUAGG